GUUAGGAUGACCGAGCGGUCUAAGGUGCAGCGUUCAGGUCGCAGUCUCCCCUGGAGGCGUGGGUUCGAAUCCCACUUCUGACA
rnacentral:tRNA from 1 species